ACAGACACAAGAUCAAGCGAACUGGUAUGGUCAACGAAUGGGUGGGUUCACUAUCAGAUUCAAUCAGUUAUUGACUGAUUCAUUAAAAUGAUUAUCACCAUCAUUAUCGAUUGUGGACAAAUUAUCAAUGGGACAAUAAUUUUUGAGAUU